UCUGGCAUCCCUUGUCAUUGCUAUGUCGGUGUCAGCGUCUGUUCAGUCUCAGUGUUGUUCCGCGAUUUCAGCUCUCAGUGUCAUUCCGUUUGUUGCCUCUAUUUACCAAGUUUAUUAAGUUUACAUUGUAAUAAAUAAAGUUUUCGUGAUGCAAGGGACAUUACGGAAUUGCGUUGCUCGACUGUUCAUCGGCGAUCAAGGCGAUCAACAAAGAAAUCUGCUGCUGCUCCAGAUAAUUAGUUUGUUUCCAUUACUUUGGCAAACGUGUAUAUUUUAAUAAUGAUAAUAAUUCUGGGGACAGCGGAAAAGAAAAUAAACCAUCGAUGCUACCAGAAAGCAGCCGUACGGAGAGUGAUGUCAUCGAGCUGUGAACAUUAUAUUUUUUACGAUCUUGCAUAAACUUUUAUCAGUUUUGAUAUAUUUUAAAAGAGAACUGAACAAAGCAGAAUAAUACGCAUAAAAGUUAGAAUGUCAGUGUAUCAAACAUGAAAAAAGUUGUUAUGAAUUACAUAUACAUAUACUGCCGCUCUUCGGCAAGUGGAGACAACGUCGAUUGAAUUUUUUGAUUAAUUUUCGGUUAUUUUGUGUCGGCAUGGCUCGUUCUAGUAAGUAUUCGUUAUAAAUUGGUUAAAUUGCGUAUGUUCAAUUCAAUGGGCCUAAAAAAUUACAUAAAAUAUAUUUUUCUAUUAAUAUGACAGCAAUGUGACUGACAUACAGCAUGACAUAUGUGACUGACAUGCGAAUAAUUUUCGAUCUGAUCAACUAAUUAUUUGAUAACCAGGUAACGAAAAGUGUUGCACCAGGUUAUCAGGCAACUUCGGCAGCGGUUCUCUUCGGUAGGUUUUCUACGGCCUUCUAAUGCAAUACCCCUCGAAGAAUACUGCUACUGAAAUAGUUCGAUACCACACUUUUCCCAUUGUUUUGUCAUAAUCAUCAAUUAUUUAUUACCCCUUUUCCUGUGUGUUCUGGCAUAUUGCAUCACCAGACAUCUAAACUUUGAUUUCAAUUCAACAUUUAUACUUGAAACUAUUAAAUAUGGUUAGAGAACAGAUCGAUCAACAAUAUGCUAUACAGUUGGUAGCCGUGCAUGCAGUUAAUAAGUAAUAAGAGAUAGAUUUCUCCGCGGGAGAUGGUUUAUAAAAAAAUGUGCAACAAGAGGGUAUGGUAGUAUAGGUUUGUUUAAAAAUUACGUCCACAUUUUAGGGAAAAGAGGGAGGUUUUAAACAUGUGUG